rnacentral:misc_RNA from 1 species
UUUCCGUAGGUGAACCUGCGGAAGGAUCAUUAUUGAAUGAAACACUUCUGGCUUUAUGCUGUUGUGCUGGCCCUUUGGGCAAUGUGCACACGGCUCUGGUCACUUGUUUCUUCUGUUCCACCUGUGCACUGCCUGUAGACACGCUGUGUCUAUGAUAUUUGUUAACACACAACAAUGUUAGUUGGCAUGUUAUAUAUAAUAAUAAAAUAUACAACUUUCAACAACGGAUCUCUUGGCUCAC